rnacentral:tRNA from 1 species
GGGCGCGGGUGUCGGGGUCGAGCACGCUCGGUGGCGACGAGCCGGUGCAGCUCGUCGGUGCCCGCCCGCGGACGCUGCGCAGCGUGCACG